AUUGCAUCUCCUCUUAUCAUUUAUUAUCAACCCAAAGGCUGGGAUGUUAGGUCUCAAAGCAGGGACAAAUGGAUAACUGAGGUGCCUAUAAACAUAUCAAAGUGGACCUGAUCAUCAGGUUCUCCCAGCAUCCCUCAGUCCCUACCUGUUACUGGGUAUGGCUGGCAUACCAUGCCCCCUACCUUAAACUUCUCCAGCCAAGAGGCUGGGCUGCCCAGCCAAGAGUGGGGUUCCCCCCCACUCCCAGUAGCUCUUUCCUAUAGAACCCACCAUUUUGGUUACCCAGCCCCCUUUUCACUUACCCUUUAUUCUCCUGCUCUUUCCCUCUCUUUUCUCCCCUCUCCUCACAUUUCCUGCUCAUGGCCAUGUUCACCUUGAACUCUCCCAGAUCUCUGCCUCUGGCUAUGCUCUCCCUUUUCUCUACAACAAACCUUCUCCUGUACCAUACCCAGGAGCAGUCAUGCCCUUCCUUUAUUAUUUAUUUUUAGGCUUCUGUCCUUCUUCAGUAAUCACUCUGAUUCUUAUCAUGAGCUUCAAAAAUGCACUUCAAAGAAAAUAAGGAAAGAGAAACUUCAUGGAGAUCUUAGAGACGGCGAUGAAACAUGACAGUACACCAUAAGGCGCCUCACAAUAAAUCAGGAGGUAGCUCAGCAUCCCACACUGUUCCAUGUCUCAAUCAAGGCUCUCUGGAGAGGCUUAGGAGUCAGACUCCUUUAGUAUAAAUGGCAGGAUUUCCAGAGAAUGACAUGUGUGGUCCCAGGGACAGAUAUAACUAAAAUGCUCAUAUGGUGAUCACAUAUUUAACUAUACAUGGCUUACAAACAACAGUUCCUUAUGGAAUUCCACAAGGAAAAUAUUCUUCAGUAACUUUGUCAGUCAUGUUUGGACAUUUCUGAAUCUGUUUGCUACCUUGGGAAUCCAUUUGGAGAAGGGUGCAUGACAUGAUGUUGAAUGCUGAAAAGAGACAAUUUCCUUCCCUUCAGAAGAUCCACUCAUACCUUUCUCUGUCAGUAGCCACUAGGUAAGUAAGAACCCCAGCCUUCAUGACAAUGAACUCACCAACCCACUUCUAGUCCUCUGCUGUUGAGGCCCUCAACUCUCCCUUUAUUAAAAAUCGAUUUUUUUUUCAUACAAUAUAUCCUGAUUACAAUUCCCCUUCCCCGCCCCCAUCCCGAUCCUCUCCCCUUCUGUCUGUCAUUAGAAAUGAACAGGCUGCUAAGAGAUACCAAUAGAAUAAAAUAUAAUAAGAUAAAACAAAAACUAUCACAUCAAACUUGGACAAGGCAACCCAACAGAAGGAAAGAAGCCCCCAGAGAAGGCACACACUCAGGAGUCCCACAGAAAUACUAAACUGAAAGCUAUAGUAUAUAUGCAGAGGACCUGGUGCAGAUCUGUGUAGGCCCUGGGUUUGCUGCUCCAGUCUGAGUUCAGAUGAGGUUUGCUCAGUUGAUUUAGAGGGCGAGGCCUCAAUUCUUGGUGGACCCAGGACUUCCCAGGUAAAGACUCACUGCAUUUUCAGUUCUCUUAUCACCCCUCCACAGCCCUUAUCUGCCCCACAGUACCUCGUUUUCUCCAAUUAAUGUUUCUAAGAUGGCCUGUGUCUUAAAACCAGUGUGUGGUCAUUUCAUGAGCUCACAGUUUCCCCAUUUACCCCUUAAGGGUAAACUGUUGAUGUAUACAAAACUGAGGGAUUAUGACAUUCAAAAAAUGAAAGAAGAAGAAACAAGAGGAUACCUAAUUUCCCCAAGGACUUCUCAGGGUGAGUGGGCAGCGCUCUUGCUUCUUCUAAUUUUGGUAAGUGUUACAUAAAUUCUCCUGUUGCUUCAGACUGUUGUCAGUUCUUUCUCAUCUCCAGCUGCUUGCUUUCUCCAUAUUCCCUAUAGCCAAACUAGUCUAUGCAAAUGGAACUGAGAAGUUCAUAAACAGACCUGUGGGGUUGAUGUGGCGGGAGAAAGCAUAGAACGUCUUACCUGAAGAUCAAGAUACGUAACUCCAAGCUCCUUCUUCAGGACCAUGUCUGUCUGCAUGCCACCAUGCUUCCCACCAUAAUGAUAAUGGACUAAACCUCUGAACUAAGCCAGCCCCAAUUAAAUGCUUUCCUUUUAAGA